rnacentral:rRNA from 1 species
AACGAACGCUGGCGGCAUGCCUAACACAUGCAAGUCGAACGAGACCUUCGGGUCUAGUGGCGCACGGGUGCGUAACGCGUGGGAACCUGCCCUUAGGUUCGGAAUAACUCCCCGAAAGGGGUGCUAAUACCGGAUAAUGUCUUCGGACCAAAGAUUUAUCGCCUUUGGAUGGGCCCGCGUUGGAUUAGCUCGUUGGUAGGGUAAAAGCCUACCAAGGCGACGAUCCAUAGCUGGUCUGAGAGGAUGAGCAGCCACACUGGGACUGCGACACGGCCCAGACUCCUACGGGAGGCAGCAGUGGGGAAUAUUGGACUAUGGGCGAAAGCAUGAUCCAGCAAUGCCGCGUGAGUGAUGAAGGCCUUAGGGUUGUAAAGCUCUUUUACCCGGGAUGAUAAUGACAGUACCGGGAGAAUAAGCUCCGGCUAACUCCGUG